CCUGAUGCUGGAGACAGAACUCAGUGCUUUGUGCAUGCUAAAUAUGAAAGCAGCAUCUUAUACACUGGGACUAGGUUUAAAAGUGGCUGUGAGAUGUCACACGAGUCCUGGGAACUGAGCCCUGGUUUUCUGGAAGAGCUAAGACAUCUCUCCGGCCACCUACUUGGAAUCCUGAAUGCUAGCUACCUAUGCCAUUUGCUGCUGUGUAAUACUAAAAGGCUGUACAGAGAGAAUGAGCUUCCUA
rnacentral:lncRNA from 1 species